UACGAAGGGGGCAAGCGUUGUUCGGAAUUACUGGGCGUAAAGGCGCGUAGGCGGUGCACUAAGUCAGGCGUGAAAGCCCUGGGCUCAACCCGGAAUUGCGCUUGGUACUGGUGCGCUUGAAUCCAGGAGAGGUUGGUGGAAUUCCCAGUGUAGAGGUGAAAUUCGUAGAGAUUGGGAAGAACACCGGUGGCGAAGGCGGCCAACUGGACUGGUAUUGACGCUGAGGCGCGAAAGCGUGGGAGCAAACAGG
rnacentral:rRNA from 1 species